rnacentral:rRNA from 1 species
CGUGUAGGCGGUAAUGUAAGUCAGACGUGAAAUCCUUUGGCUCAACUGAAGAACUGCGUCUGAAACUGCAUGACUAGAGUGCAGAAGAGGGAAACGGAAUUCCCGGUGUAGAGGUGAAAUUCGUAGAUAUCGGGAGGAACACCGGUGGCGAAGGCGGUUUCCUGGUCUGACACUGACGCUGAGGCGUGAAAGCGUGGGGAGCAAACAGGAUUAGAUACCCUGGUAGUCCACGCCGUAAACGGUGGGUACUGGGUGUGGGAGGUGUAAUGCCUUCUGUGCCGAAGCUAACGCGUUAAGUACCCCGCCUGGGGAGUACGGCCGCAAGGUUGAA